CUUCGGCCUGGAACAAGGCGAGCUUGGCCUGCUCGCGCUGGGCCGGAUCGGGAAUCAGACGGUCGAUCAGUUUGGCGCCGACUUCGAAGA
rnacentral:tRNA from 1 species